AGAGUUUGAUCCUGGCUCAGGAUGAACGCUGGCGGUCUGCCUAACACAUGCAAGUCGAACGGUGGCGCAAGCCAUAGUGGCGGACGGGUGAGUAACGCGUGAGAAUCUAGCUCUAGGAUGGGGACAACAGUUGGAAACGACUGCUAAUACCCGAUGAGCCGAAAGGUAAAAGAUUUAUCGCCUAGAGAUGAGCUCGCGUCAGAUUAGCUAGUUGGUAGUGUAAAGGACUACCAAGGCGACGAUCUGUAGCUGGUCUGAGAGGAUGAGCAGCCACACUGGGACUGAGACACGGCCCAGACUCCUACGGGAGGCAGCAGUGGGGAAUUUUCCGCAAUGGGCGAAAGCCUGACGGAGCAAGACCGCGUGAGGGAGGAAGGCUCUUGGGUUGUAAACCUCUUUUCUCAGGGAAGAAGAACUGACGGUACCUGAGGAAUAAGCAUCGGCUAACUCCGUGCCAGCAGCCGCGGUAAUACGGAGGAUGCAAGCGUUAUCCGGAAUCAUUGGGCGUAAAGCGUCCGCAGGUGGAGUGGUAAGUCUGUUGUCAAAGAACGGGGCUUAACCCCGUAAAGGCGAUGGAAACUGCCACACUAGAGGCUGGUAGGGGUAGAGGGAAUUCCCAGUGUAGCGGUGAAAUGCGUAGAGAUUGGGAAGAACACCAGUGGCGAAAGCGCUCUACUGGACCAGAACUGACACUCAGGGACGAAAGCUAGGGGAGCGAAAGGGAUUAGAUACCCCUGUAGUCCUAGCCGUAAACGAUGGAUACUAGGCGUAGCUCGUAUCGACCCGAGCUGUGCCGAAGCUAACGCGUUAAGUAUCCCGCCUGGGGAGUACGCACGCAAGUGUGAAACUCAAAGGAAUUGACGGGGGCCCGCACAAGCGGUGGAGUAUGUGGUUUAAUUCGAUGCAACGCGAAGAACCUUACCAGGGCUUGACAUCUGGCGAAUCUCGAUGAAAGUUGGGAGUGCCUUAGGGAGCGCCAAGACAGGUGGUGCAUGGCUGUCGUCAGCUCGUGUCGUGAGAUGUUGGGUUAAGUCCCGCAACGAGCGCAACCCUCGUCCUUAGUUGCCAGCAUUAAGUUGGGAACUCUAGGGAGACUGCCGGUGACAAACCGGAGGAAGGUGGGGAUGACGUCAAGUCAGCAUGCCCCUUACGCCCUGGGCUACACACGUACUACAAUGGUCGGGACAACGGGCAGCAAGCAGGCAACUGUAAGCGAAUCUCAUCAAACCCGGCCUCAGUUCAGAUUGCAGGCUGCAACUCGCCUGCAUGAAGGAGGAAUCGCUAGUAAUCGCAGGUCAGAAUACUGCGGUGAAUCCGUUCCCGGGCCUUGUACACACCGCCCGUCACACCAUGGGAGCUGGCCACGCCCGAAGUCGUUACUCCAACCUGCAAAGGAGGAGGAUGCCGAAGGCAGGGCCAGUGACUGGGGUGAAGUCGUAACAAGGUA
rnacentral:rRNA from 1 species